rnacentral:rRNA from 1 species
CAGCCGCCACGGUAAUACGAAGGGUGCAAGCGUUACUCGGAAUUACUGGGCGUAAAGCGUGCGUAGGUGGUGGUUUAAGUCCGUUGUGAAAGCCCUGGGCUCAACCUGGGAAUUGCAGUGGAUACUGGGUCACUAGAGUGUGGUAGAGGAUAGUGGAAUUUCCGGUGUAGCAGUGAAAUGCGUAGAGAUCGGAAGGAACAUCUGUGGCGAAGGCGACUAUCUGGGCCAACACUGACACUGAGGCACGAAAGCGUGGGGAGCAAACAGGAUUAGAUACCCCAGUAGUCCCUGUCUCUUAUAU